rnacentral:rRNA from 1 species
UACGUAGGGUGCAAGCGUUAAUCGGAAUUACUGGGCGUAAAGCGUGCGCAGGCGGUUGUGCAAGACAGAUGUGAAAUCCCCGGGCUUAACCUGGGAAUUGCAUUUGUGACUGCACGGCUAGAGUGUGUCAGAGGGGGGUAGAAUUCCACGUGUAGCAGUGAAAUGCGUAGAGAUGUGGAAGAACACCGAUGGCGAAGGCAGCCCCCUGGGAUAACACUGACGCUCAGGCUCGAAAGCGUGGGGAGCAAACAGG